rnacentral:rRNA from 1 species
CCUACGGGAGGCAGCAGUGGGGAAUUUUGGACAAUGGGCGCAAGCCUGAUCCAGCCAUGCCGCGUGCGGGAAGAAGGCCUUCGGGUUGUAAACCGCUUUUGUCAGGGAAGAAAUCCUUUGGGUUAAUACCUCGGAGGGAUGACGGUACCUGAAGAAUAAGCACCGGCUAACUACGUGCCAGCAGCCGCGGUAAUACGUAGGGUGCGAGCGUUAAUCGGAAUUACUGGGCGUAAAGCGUGCGCAGGCGGUUAUGCAAGACAGAUGUGAAAUCCCCGGGCUCAACCUGGGAACUGCAUUUGUGACUGCAUAGCUAGAGUACGGUAGAGGGGGAUGGAAUUCCGCGUGUAGCAGUGAAAUGCGUAGAUAUGCGGAGGAACACCGAUGGCGAAGGCAAUCCCCUGGACCUGUACUGACGCUCAUGCACGAAAGCGUGGGGAGCAAACAGGAUUAGAUACCCUGGUAGUCCACGCCCUAAACGAUGUCAACUGGUUGUUGGACGGCUUGCUGUUCAGUAACGAAGCUAACGCGUGAAGUUGACCGCCUGGGGAGUAACGGCCGCAAGGUUGAAACUUCAAAGGAAUUGACGGCUGAGAGNGCGAGACGACGACGAGGGAGGAGG